rnacentral:rRNA from 1 species
GAUGAACGCUGGCGGCGUGCCUAAUACAUGCAAGUCGAGCGAACGGACGAGAAGCUUGCUUCUCUGACGUUAGCGGCGGACGGGUGAGUAACACGUGGAUAACCUACCUAUAAGACUGGGAUAACUUCGGGAAACCGUAGCUAAUACCGGAUAAUAUUUUGAACCGCAUGGUUCAAUAGUGAAAGACGGUCUUGCUGUCACUUAUAGAUGGAUCCGCGCUGCAUUAGCUAGUUGGUAAGGUAACGGCUUACCAAGGCAACGAUGCAUAGCCGACCUGAGAGGGUGAUCGGCCACACUGGAACUGAGACACGGUCCAGACUCCUACGGGAGGCAGCAGUAGGGAAUCUUCCGCAAUGGGCGAAAGCCUGACGGAGCAACGCCGCGUGAGUGAUGAAGGUCUUCGGAUCGUAAAACUCUGUUAUUAGGGAAGAACAUAUGUGUAAGUAACUAUGCACAUCUUGACGGUACCUAAUCAGAAAGCCACGGCUAACUACGUG